GCUAAAGGAAUAAUUUCCAGGUUUAACAAAGGAAACUCAGUUUUCACAGGGAUGUCAUAAACCAGGGUGAGGUCGUUCUGCACUCCUGAGAAAAUUAAGACAUCUCCAAUCAACCUAUGUGCAAGGAAAUCUGCUGAAAAAUACUGAUCUCAGGGCUGAUGCAUUACCCAUGAAAGUCGAUGGAAGGUUAUCAAGACUUAACAGGAAUAAUUUACCACAGCUAAACAUCUGCUUUGUCUUCAGAGAUAUCACCUGAAGUACUUUAAGAAUGAGACAUUUGCAGUUUCAUAUUUGUAGUGUAAGUUGCUGAGAAGAAAGAACAGGUCAGUCAAAAUGGGAGAAAAGAACUGAAGUGAACAAUCUAGCAGAUGUUAACCUCUGCAGUCUGGGAAUAUUAUUCGUUCAUCUAUGUCACCUUUGAACUGACAGGUUCAAAGUCCUUUUAAACUUUCAAUUGCAGAAAAAUUUUGCAAAGCAGAGAAAAGGAGUAUAUAACUUCACUUUUAACCAGUGUUAUAUAGGAGUUAUUUAAUUGAGGUAUUGAAGUAGAAAGCCAUAUCCAGUUUGAAACUUGGCUGUGAAUUUGGAUAGACAGACUGCAAGUAUGAAGUUUAGAGACACAAGGACUCUCUAGACUGAGAACCUCAUAAAAAAAUAAGGGAUUUAUUUGCCUCAGUUUUGGGAUCUCUGAUGAAUAUUAAAAGAAAUUGACUACUGGAAGACAGACAACAAGAAUCAGGUCCCAUUAUGGCUCUUCAUACAGAGUAUGGAAAAUUAAGGCAUCCAGACUGGAUAAAUACAUGUGAAGUUUUGUGUCAGUGUCCUUGCUCUGAAGAAAAUCCAGAUGGCAUCAAUAGGCGAGUUGGCAGACUUCAGACCCUUUGAAAAGAAAUAUAGGCAUGAAGAAGUCAUACAGGGACUUCAAAAGAAAGACAAACUUUUGAAAAUGGAAAUCUAUGAACAAUUCAAUAAUUUCACAAAUUAUGUAAUCUUAAGUACUUCUGCAGCUCCUUCAAAAGAUGUUGUCCUCAUAUUGCCUCCCAAACCUGUCUAGAAAAAAGCUCAAUGCUGGAACAGGGAUGUCUAUGGAUUCAGUGCAUGCUCUCUGUUAUUAUGAGUUUUUCUCUUUCAUGUACCAGCACAUUCCAGUUUCUUUGAUUUGAAGAUGUCUUAGAGUGAUUCCUCUUGUGACAGCUGGAAUAGUUUGGUGUUUCAGCUGAUAGCUGCUAUCUGGAUAGAAGCUUGAAAUUACAAAAGUAUCAUAAUACAUGAAUUAGAUAAGUGUUCUGAUUACCUAUAAUUUCCAUAUAUGUUAUCUAAUCAGAGCAAAUCUAAACAGAACAUCCUUUCAUUCUGAAUAAACAUUUCUAGUUUAGAGAAGGGUGACCAGUCUUGUAAGUCUAUAUUUAGGGAAUGAAUUUGUACCAAAACACAGCUGGUUAUUGAAAUUUGCUUAAGUAGAAAGUUUCAAAGCUGAUGUUUGUUAGCAUGGCUUAGUUGUUUAGGGGGUUUUGUGUGUCUUUCUCUUCAGACAUAUUGCCUAAGUAUUUGCAUUUUAGCUUUGAAAAUUGUACGAAAAAAUAUUGUUUAAAGAUAAUAGCAAUAAAAUGGACAGUUUUCAAACCAUGGAACAAAGGAAACGCAGAUGAAAAUUACUGUAAUAUGUGUGAGGAGAGAAAUUCUAGUUUAUGGAAAUACAGUUGAAUGAUGUUUACCCAACCCACUGAAAUAGAAAAAGCAAGAAGUUGCAGCAUACAAAGCCUAUCAUUAUAAUUCACUUAAAGACUGUGUCAUCAGUUUGCUAGUAUAGAAAUCCUACCAUUUUGGUUUGUGCAGUUACAUGUGUGAAACUGUCCUUUAGCCCUGGAGCAGCUUUCCCCCCGCUGUGCAAAGUGCUGAUGCAGGCUCUCUCCCCUCUUCCACAAAAAGACAAGAUGUUAUAGGAGACAGAGCUGUCUUUUGUGGUUAAUUUAUAUACCCCCUGUUUUUUGGAAUCUUUCCUUAUAAAGGAAUAUUGUAUUGUAAAUAUUUCUAUAAUUUUCAAGGGUAAAAAUAACAUAAAAUUAAGCCAAAGUAGGUGGAUGAUUUGGCUUUAACCAGGAAAGCCUAAAUUCAGUAAAUACCAAUGAUCUACUUGAAUAUAUCAUAUUGAUACAGACUUUACAUUUUUGUGAGAGUCUUACAUAGCAGUAUAAAAGCUCUGUGCAUGUUUAUUAUUUGUGAAUAUACAAUAAAUUAAGUUUAGAGGGGGAUUUCUACAUGUGAAUACACAUAUUUGUUUUAUUAAUGGCUAUGUUGUGAUGUAUAGUAGAUAUCUAUCUUCUGUUUUUACAAAAAGUGCACUUUCAGCUUCUAAAUCUUAAAUUAAACUGCCACAGACUAAUAAAAAAAGAAAUAAAGUCUACUGAAAUAAAUUGCCUCUGAAAUAGAUUUAAACUUUGCAAGAAUUAUCAGCCUCUUACAUCUAGCGGGGAAGGCAAAAUAUGAAGGAACUAUUAAAUUCACAUCUCAGCGAUUAAAAAACUCCAUUUCUGUAUCUGUGGUACAUGAGAUUGCAGCACUCUGAGAUGUCUGUAAAACCAAGGAAUCUGUAAUGAUGACUAAGGGAAUUAGGGAACAGAUUAAGGGCUAGAUUGCUUACCAGAGGGGCUAAAGGGUUCACAGUUACUCAGACAUACAUAUUCCCCCAAGUUGUCCUGUAAGUGAAUGCUCCUCAUUGGAACUAAGGGUGGCUGAAGCUGUUCUUCAAGAUAUAUAACAGAAAAACUAGGCAUAUUCCACGUGUAGUUAUGUUUGAAAGUCCAUAACAGAGGAGGAAGGGAAGGGAGGAAAUGAAGAAAAUUUAGUUGGCUGAUAGUCUCUAAGUAGGCUGAGUAAACCUCAAAGUGGAAACCAAGGAAAAAUAAUGACCAAAAUAAAGAAAGCGAAACAAACCAAUAUUUUGCUUACUUAUUAGCAAGUAACAGGUUUAUUUAGAAAAUAGACAUUCCAGAAGAAAAAUAGAAGCAUAAUUUUUGGGGAUAAUCUACCAAAGAUAAGAAUGGACCUUUACAAGACAAUUACCAAAUAACUGCAGGACUAGAAAACAAACACAUAGGCUCCUAAUGAGACAUACACAGAAAAGACAGCAUCAAGAAAAGGCAAUAUUAAAUUAAGAGACUCCUGGAAGCAGAGUAGAUUGCAAUAAAUUCACACUGAAUAUCAUAUUCUCAAGAAAAUCUAGGCUAGUGUGCCUCUCCAUCUCUUCCUAUGUUGCUGAUGAUUUGAGCUCAGGCAGCAGUUUCUCAGCCCAACUAAUAAUUAAGGAGGAAGAGAAGCAGUAGAGAAACAUUAGAUACUCUUUAAUCAAACAUUAAUGGUAUAUAAUAGACACUUACCUCCAAUUUGGAGUCACAGAUUUGAGGUGUGGGCUGUUCAUUGGAUAAGGAAUUGGCUGGAUGGAUGCAGCCACUGAGUUGUGGUCAGUGUCUCUAUGCCCAGUUAGAGACUGGACAGCCCCUCAGGGCUCUGUCUUGGGAUCUUAUAGCAGCUUUCCAGUAC